rnacentral:lncRNA from 1 species
GUCCAGUGACUGCAGGUGGACAAGUUAGAGGCUAGAUCCUUUAGGGCUCACUUUAUUUGGUAUCUUAAGAAAAUCAUGGGAUACUACUUCUAUCUUUCUGAGGACCAUAAUAUGAUUAUGAGCCAUCAUACCGUCUUCUUAGAAAAAGAGUUUAUCCAAGAUGGAGGCAGUGAGAGGAGGAUUAAGCUCGAAGAGAAAGUCUCUGAAGAACAUCAAGUCUAAGAGCCUGAACCCAGUAAUGAGUCAGUAAAUGUGAUACU